CCUACGGGUGGCUGCAGUGGGGAAUUUUGCGCAAUGCUCGUAAGAGUGACGCAGCGACGCCGCGUGAAUGACGAAGGCCUUCGGGUUGUAAACUUCUUUUCUCAGGGACGAAGCAAGUGACGGUACCUGAGGAUAAGCCACGGCUAACUACGUGCCAGCAGCCGCGGUAAUACGUAGGUGGCAAGCGUUAUCCGGAUUUACUGGGUGUAAAGGGCGUGUAGGCGGGACUGCAAGUCAGAUGUGAAAACCACGGGCUCAACCUGUGGCCUGCAUUUGAAACUGUAGUUCUUGAGUACUGGAGAGGCAGACGGAAUUCCUAGUGUAGCGGUGAAAUGCGUAGAUAUUAGGAGGAACACCAGUGGCGAAGGCGGUCUGCUGGACAGCAACUGACGCUGAGGCGCGAAAGCGUGGGGAGCAAACAGGAUUAGAUACCCUUGUAGUC
rnacentral:rRNA from 1 species